UACGAAGGGGGCUAGCGUUGCUCGGAAUCACUGGGCGUAAAGCGCACGUAAGCGGAUUGUUAAGUCAGGGGUGAAAUCCUGGAGCUCAACUCCAGAACUGCCUUUGAUACUGGCGAUCUCGAGUCCGGGAGAGGUGAGUGGAACUGCGAGUGUAGAGGUGAAAUUCGUAGAUAUUCGCAAGAACACCAGUGGCGAAGGCGGCUCACUGGCCCGGUACUGACGCUGAGGCACGAAAGCGUGGGGAGCAAACAGG
rnacentral:rRNA from 1 species